ACCCUUCGGGGCGAAGAUAAAGUGGAUUAGCGGCCGACGGGUGAGUAACACGUGAGUAACCUGCCUUAGACAUUGGGAUAGCCUCGGGAAACCGGGAUUAAUACCAAAUAAAAUCAUAAUGACACAUGUCAUAACGAUCAAAACUCCGGUGGUCUAAGAUGGACUCGCGUCCCAUUAGCUAGUUGGUAGAGUAAAAGCCUACCAAGGCGACGAUGGGUAGCCGGCCUGAGAGGGUGAACGGCCACAUUGGAACUGAGAAACGGUCCAAACUCCUACGGGAGGCAGCAGUGGGGAAUAUUGCACAAUGGAGGGAACUCUGAUGCAGCGACGCCGCGUGAACGAAGAAGGCUUUCGAGUCGUAAAGUUCUUUUAUAUGGGAAGAUAAUGACGGUACCAUAAGAAAAAGCCCCGGCUA
rnacentral:rRNA from 1 species